rnacentral:rRNA from 1 species
GACGAACGCUGGCGGCGUGCUUAACACAUGCAAGUCGAACGGAAAGGCCCUGCUUUUGUGGGGUGCUCGAGUGGCGAACGGGUGAGUAACACGUGAGUAACCUGCCCUUGACUUUGGGAUAACUUCAGGAAACUGGGGCUAAUACCGGAUAGGAGCUCCUGCUGCAUGGUGGGGGUUGGAAAGUUUCGGCGGUUGGGGAUGGACUCGCGGCUUAUCAGCUUGUUGGUGGGGUAGUGGCCUACCAAGGCUUUGACGGGUAGCCGGCCUGAGAGGGUGACCGGCCACAUUGGGACUGAGGUACGGCCCAGACUCCUACGGGAGGCAGCAGUGGGGAAUAUUGCACAAUGGGCGGAAGCCUGAUGCAGCCACGCCGCGUGCGGGAUGACGGCCUUCGGGUUGUAAACCGCUUUCGCCUGUGACGAAGCGUGAGUGACGGUAAUGGGUAAAGAAGCACCGGCUAACUACGUG